AUUGAACGCUGGCGGCAGGCCUAACACAUGCAAGUCGAACGCGUGGCGGACGGGUGAGUAAUGUCUGGGAAACCCCCUGAUGGAGGGGGAUCACCACUGGAAACGGUCGCAUACACCGUAUACCCACAGAUGCGCACAGAUGGGAUUAGCUAGUUGGUGGGGUAACGGCUCACCAAGGCGACGAUCCCUAGCUGGUCUGAGAGGAUGACCAGCCACACUGGAACUGAGCCACGGUCCAGACUCCUACGGGAGGCAGCAGUGGGGAAUAUUGCACAAUGGGCGCAAGCCUGAUGCAGCCAUGCCGCGUGUAUGAAGAAGGCCUUCGGGUUGUAAAGUACUUUCAGCGGGGAGGCGUUACCCGCAGAAGAAGCACCGGCUAACUCCGUGCCAGCAGCCGCGGUAAUAC
rnacentral:rRNA from 1 species